rnacentral:rRNA from 1 species
AGAGUUUGAUCAUGGCUCAGGAUGAACGCUAGCUACAGGCUUAACACACGCAAGUCGAGGGGAAACGACAUCGAAAGCUUGCUUUUGAUGGGCGUCGACCGGCGCACGGGUGAGUAACGCGUAUCCAACCUGCCCACCACUUGGGGGAUAACCUUGCGAAAAGUAAGACUAAUACCCAAUGACGUCUCUAGAAGACAUCUGAAGGAGAUUAAAGAUUUAUCGGUGAUGGAUGGGGAUGCGUCUGAUUAGCUUGUUGGCGGGGUAACGGCCACCAAGGCGACGAUCAGUAGGGGUUCUGAGAGGAAGGUCCCCCACAUUGGAACUGAGACACGGUCCAAACUCCGUACGGGAGGCA